CGCGUGAAAUCCCCGGGCUCAACCUGGGAACUGCGUUUAUGACUGGCAGGCUAGAGUAUGGCAGAGGGGGGUGGAAUUCCACGUGUAGCAGUGAAAUGCGUAGAGAUGUGGAGGAACACCGAUGGCGAAGGCAGCCCCCUGGGCCAAUACUGACGCUCAUGCACGAAAGCGUGGGUAGCAAACAGGAUUAGAUACCCUGGUAGUCCACGCCCUAAACGAUGUCACUUAGCUUUGGGUGUGUUAACACCUAUUAGUACGGUAGUUAAGUGGUGUAGUUGUCCCUCUUGGGUAAUUCCGCCAGCAUAGGUUUAAAAAACUCAAAGGAAUUGAACGGGGACCCGCAACAAGCCGGUUGGAAGAAGUGGAUUAAUUUGAAUGCAACGCGAAAAACCUUACCUACCUGUGACAUGUCCAGAAGCUUCUAAGGAGAAUUGGAAGGUGGCCCGAAAGGGAAGUGGGAACACGGUUGCUGCAUGCCUGUCGUCAGUUCGUGUCGUGAGAUGUUGGGUUAAGUCCCGCAACGAGCGCAACCCUUGUCGUUAAUUGCCAUCAUUCAGUUGGGCACUUUAACGAGACUGCCGGUGACAAACCNGGAGGAAGGUGGGGAUGACGUCAAGUCCUCAUGGCCCUUAUGGGUAGGGCUUCACACGUCAUACAAUGGUCGGUACAAAGGGUUGCCAACCCGCGAGGUGGAGCUAAUCCCAUAAAACCGAUCGUAGUCCGGAUCGCAGUCUGCAACUCGACUGCGUG
rnacentral:rRNA from 1 species